rnacentral:misc_RNA from 1 species
GAUGAAGAACGCAGUGAAAUGCGAUAAGUAAUGUGAAUUGCAGAAUUCAGUGAAUCAUCGAAUCUUUGAACGCACAUUGCGCCCGCCAGUAUUCUGGCGGGCAUGCCUGUUCGAGCGUCAUUUCAACCAUCAAGCCCCCGGCUUGUGUUUGGGACCUGCGGCUGCCGCAGGCCCUGAAAAGCAGUGGCGGGCUCGCUGUCACACCGAGCGUAGUAGCAUACAUCUCGCUCUGGGCGUGCUGCGGGUUCCGGCCGUUAAACCACCUUCAUAACCCAAGGUUGACCUCGGAUCAGGUAGGAAGACCCGCUGAACUUAAGCAUAUCAUAAGCGGAGGA